GAUGAACGCUAGCGGCAGGCCUAAUACAUGCAAGUAGAACGGUGUCUUCGGACAUAGUGGCGCACGGGUGCGUAACACGUAUGCAACCUACCUUACAUUGGGGGAUAGCCUUUCGAAAGGGAGAUUAAUACCGCAUAAGACAGUAGCUGGGCAUCCAGCAGCUGUUAAAGAUUUAUCGAUGUAAGCUGGGCAUGCGUCCAAUUAGCUAGUUGGUGAGGUAACGGCUCACCAAGGCAAUGAUUGGUAGGGGAACUGAGAGGUCAAUCCCCCACACUGGCACUGAGAUACGGGCCAGACUCCUACGGGAGGCAGCAGUAGGGAAUAUUGGGCAAUGGACGCAAGUCUGACCCAGCCAUGCCGCGUGCAGGAUGAAGGCGUUAUGCGUUGUAAACUGCUUUUAUACAGGAAGAAACGACUCUUGCGAGAGGCAUUGACGGUACUGUAUGAAUAAGCACCGGCUAACUCCGUGCCAGCAGCCGCAGUAACAC
rnacentral:rRNA from 1 species